GACGAACGCUGGCGGCGUGCCUAAUACAUGCAAGUAGAACGCACAGUUUAUACCGUAGCUUGCUACACCAUAGACUGUGAGUUGCGAACGGGUGAGUAACGCGUAGGUAACCUGCCUGGUAGCGGGGGAUAACUAUUGGAAACGAUAGCUAAUACCGCAUACUAUUUAUUAUUGCAUGAUAAUUAAUUGAAAGGUGCAAUUGCACCACUACCAGAUGGACCUGCGUUGUAUUAGCUAGUAGGUGAGGUAACGGCUCACCUAGGCGACGAUACAUAGCCGACCUGAGAGGGUGAUCGGCCGCACUGAGACUGAGACACGGCCCAGAGUCAUACAGGAGGCAGCAGUAGGGAAUCUUCGGCAAUGGACGAAAGUCUGACCGAGCAACGCCGCGUGAGUGAAGAAGGUGUUCGGAUCGUAAAGCUCUGUUGUAAGAGAAGAACGGGUGUGAGAGUGGAAAGUUCACACUGUGACGGUAUCUUACCAGAAAGGGACGGCUAACUACGUG
rnacentral:rRNA from 1 species